rnacentral:rRNA from 1 species
CGGUAGCACAGAGAGCUUGCUCUCGGGUGACGAGUGGCGGACGGGUGAGUAAUGUCUGGGAAACUGCCUGAUGGAGGGGGAUAACUACUGGAAACGGUAGCUAAUACCGCAUAACGUCGCAAGACCAAAGAGGGGGACCUUCGGGCCUCUUGCCAUCAGAUGUGCCCAGAUGGGAUUAGCUAGUAGGUGGGGUAACGGCUCACCUAGGCGACGAUCCCUAGCUGGUCUGAGAGGAUGACCAGCCACACUGGAACUGAGACACGGUCCAGACUCCUACGGGAGGCAGCAGUGGGGAAUAUUGCACAAUGGGCGCAAGCCUGAUGCAGCCAUGCCGCGUGUAUGAAGAAGGCCUUCGGGUUGUAAAGUACUUUCAGCGGGGAGGAAGGUGAUGAGGUUAAUAACCUUGUCGAUUGACGUUACCCGCAGAAGAAGCACCGGCUAACUCCGUGCCAGCAGCCGCGGUAAUACGGAGGGUGCAAGCGUUAAUCGGAAUUACUGGGCGUAAAGCGCACGCAGGCGGUCUGUCAAGUCGGAUGUGAAAUCCCCGGGCUCAACCUGGGAACUGCAUUCGAAACUGGCAGGCUAGAGUCUUGUAGAGGGGGGUAGAAUUCCAGGUGUAGCGGUGAAAUGCGUAGAGAUCUGGAGGAAUACCGGUGGCGAAGGCGGCCCCCUGGACAAAGACUGACGCUCAGGUGCGAAAGCGUGUGGAGCAUACAGGAUUAGAUACCCUGGUAGUCCACGCCGUAAACGAUGUCGACUUGGAGGUUGU